rnacentral:rRNA from 1 species
AACGCGAAGAACCUUACCAAGGUUUGACAUGCAGGGAAAAGCCGUAGAGAUAUGGUGUCCGUAAGGGUCCUGCACAGGUGGUGCAUGGCUGUCGUCAGCUCGUGUCGUGAGAUGUUGGGUUAAGUCCCGCAACGAGCGCAACCCUCGUCCUAUGUUGCCAGCGGGUAAUGCCGGGGACUCAUAGGAGACUGCCGGGGUCAACUCGGAGGAAGGUGGGGAUGACGUCAAGUCCUCAUGCCCCUUAUAUCUUGGGCUGCAAACAUGCUACAAUGGCCAGUACAGAGGGCUGCGAGACCGCAAGGUGGAGCGAAUCUCAAAAAGCUGGUCUCAGUUCGGAUUGGGGUCUGCAACUCGACCCCAUGAAGUCGGAGUCGCUAGUAAUCGCGAAUCAGCAACGUCGCGGUGAAUACGUUCCCGGGCCUUGUA